rnacentral:rRNA from 1 species
UUAGGGAGGCAGCAGUGGGGAAUAUUGCACAAUGGGCGCAAGCCUGAUGCAGCCAUGCCGCGUGUAUGAAGAAGGCCUUCGGGUUGUAAAGUACUUUCAGCGGGGAGGAAGGCGUUGAGGUUAAUAACCUCAGCGAUUGACGUUACCCGCAGAAGAAGCACCGGCUAACUCCGUGCCAGCAGCCGCGGUAA